rnacentral:rRNA from 1 species
UGGGGAAUAUUGCACAAUGGGCGAAAGCCUGAUGCAGCGACGCCGCGUGAGGGAUGACGGCCUUCGGGUUGUAAACCUCUUUCAGCAGGGAAGAAGCGAAAGUGACGGUACCUGCAGAAGAAGCGCCGGCUAACUACGUGCCAGCAGCCGCGGUAAUACGUAGGGCGCAAGCGUUGUCCGGAAUUAUUGGGCGUAAAGAGCUCGUAGGCGGUUAGUCGCGUCUGCUGUGAAAACUCGAGGCUCAACCUCGGGCUUGCAGUGGGUACGGGCUGACUAGAGUGCGGUAGGGGUGACUGGAAUUCCUGGUGUAGCGGUGGAAUGCGCAGAUAUCAGGAGGAACACCGAUGGCGAAGGCAGGUCACUGGGCCGCAACUGACGCUGAGGAGCGAAAGCAUGGGGAGCGAACAGGAUUAGAUACCCUGGUAGUCCAUGCCGUAAACGUUGGGCACUAGGUGUGGGGUCCAUUCCACGGAUUCCGUGCCGCAGCAAACGCAUUAAGUGCCCCGCCUGGGGAGUACGGCCGCAAGGCUAAAACUCAAAGGAA